rnacentral:rRNA from 1 species
GAUGAACGCUGGCGGCGUGCCUAACACAUGCAAGUCGAACGGAGAUUACGGACGGAAGUUUUCGGAUGGAAGACUGUAAUUCUUAGUGGCGGACGGGUGAGUAACGCGUGGGCAACCUGCCCUAUACAGGGGGAUAGCAGCUGGAAACGGCUGGUAAGACCGCAUAAGUCGGUUAAAUCGCAUGAUUUGAUCGGGAAAUGAGCAAUCAGGUAUAGGAUGGGCCCGCGUCCGAUUAGCCAGUUGGCAGGGUAAAAGCCUACCAAAGCGACGAUCGGUAGCCGGACUGAGAGGUCGGACGGCCACAUUGGGACUGAGACACGGCCCAAGCUCCUACGGGAGGCAGCAGUGGGGGAUAUUGCACAAUGGAGGAAACUCUGAUGCAGCGACGCCGCGUGAGUGAAGAAGUAUUUCGGUAUGUAAAGCUCUAUCAGCAGGGAAGAUGAUGACGGUACCUGACUAAGAAGCCCCGGCUAACUACGUG